AUGGAUUUGUGUUUGGCUUUUCACAGGGAAAAUAAGAGAGACAAAGAAAAGGUCAAGGAAAAAAAGACCAAAGAAAAGGAGAAAGAGAGAGAUGGAGAGCGAAACAAAGAUCGAGAGAGUGUUGGAGACAAGGAUAAGGACCAAGAUAGGGACAGAGACAAGGAAAAGGAGAAAGAUAAGGAGAAGGAAAAAGACAGGGAAGAAGUACACCAGAACAAGGAAAAAGAAGAUAUUAAGGAAGGGGGGGUAAAAGACAGAGAGAAGGUGAAGGACAAAGAGGGAGAUAAGGAUAAAGGAGGGGACAAAGAGAAAGAUAGAGACAAAGAAAAGGAAAAAGAUGGGGAUAAGUUGAAGGAGCAACAAAAAGGAACAGAUGAUGAAAGAAAGAAAGAGAAGCGAUCCAGAACACCCCCAAGAAGCUAUAGUUCUUCAAGAAGAUCUUGCAGCUCCAGCAGAGAAAGACAUAAAAGGAAGAGUAGAAGUCCUUCCAAGUCUCCUAAAACAUCCAAAGCAACAAAAAGAAAGUCUUCGCAAACUCCUUCUCCAAUAAGAAACAAGAAAGAAAAAAAAAGAGAAAGGGAUACAAAUAAUGAAAGAAGAGAGAGAGAAUGUUCCACCUCCAAGAAAAAAAGUGAUAAAGAAAAAGGUAGAAAGGAGCAAUCUGACCAAAGCACCACUACUUUGAAGGUUAAAAAAUCCACAAAAACAAUAUGUACUGUUUAUUCUUGGAAGUGGUGUGGGAAGGUAGAAGAAGACAGUUGUUGGUGGAUGAAACAGGAAUCCAAGCUCAAAAUAGAGGUGACUGUUACUCAAAUAAAUUCAGUGAAGUCAAUAAGUUUACACAGGUAUGAGGGAUGAAAAUAAGCUCACAAACAUUGAUAUUAACAUGGUGUUAAAAAACAAAAACAAAAAAACACCACUUUUCCAGAUUUCAGAAUUGUAACUAAGUGGGGGGGACGACAUCUCAUUUGGAAACUAGAAACAUCGAAAGAAUGCCUGAGAAACUGGUGAGAUAUGGGUUCUGUCUACUCAUUAGUCACCUGCUAAUUUUUGAUAGCAAUUUCAGAUAGAUACAUCUAGCUUUAAAUUAGUCAGCUGGCUAACAGCAGCAACCUGCACACAGCUUGGUUCUAGAAUGAACUGACCUCUUGAGUGAAUUUACUCUGCUGCUAAAAAGAUAAAUUCUGCAGUCUGUAUCAUGCUCUGCGUUGUUUGUUAUUUGUUUGCUAGUUUUUCACCACAGAUGCAUCUAAGGCAAAACUUGGAGUUAAUUUGGAACUCUGCAAAUCUAUUUGUUAUAUGGUAGCUUCUCUGUGUUGCCUUUAGCUUUUACUGACACUUUGUAAUGGUUAUUAGAUUUAGGGAUUCUUUGUUAUUUUUCUUCUGGUUUAAGCAAGAGAUAAGUAAAGGCGGCUUUAUAUGAUACAAAUUCUUAUGUACUGCAUAUGCGUCUUUAUUCGUGUUUUCAGACUUUUUUCAUUCAUGUGUAUGACCAUUGAAAGCAGUAAUACUAUAGUGAUGUGUGUAUUUUCUACUUGUAGGUCUGAAGCAUCUCUAAAUCACUCAGUUUGUAAUGAAACAAGAUUCGAGUUCAUGCAUUUUAAUUUUACUAUUCAUUCAUUUGGGAGAGAGGAGACUAAUCAUCUUGAUUUCCAUAAAUGUUAGUCUGAAAGUAGAAUUAUAACAGUAAAACAACUUCUACAUACGUGAAUUCUGAACAAUGGAGUAUUGCAAAUUGGGGCAUAUUAUGGGUCCAACAUACCACUUGGUGAUACUAAGUUUUAUGUCAAUGGAUUAUUGCCUUUGGCAUUGUCAUAAUCUUGAAAGUGUGAAUUGGACUUAGUGAUGCAUGCUCUGAUCUCUAAAUGGCCAAAAUGAUGUAAACUUAGUUAAGAUAGAUUUAGUUGUCUCACCAGAAAAUGGAGUGUGGACAGUUGAAAUCUGUAAAUACUGUUAGUGCUGUUACCUAAAGAGAAUCUAAAACUUAGUUUUUGUUUGCUAAUAUGUAAACAAACAAACAAAAAAGUUUUCAGCCUGUACCUUAGUUUUAUUUUUGUACGUUGAAAAGUAAUUAAAAUAAUAUUGAAAACAAAAGGACUGUGUCCUGGUUUCAGAUAGGGUAGAGUUAAUUUUCCUCCUACUAGCUGGUAUGGUGCUGAGUUUUGGAUUUAGGAUGAGAAUAAUGCUAACACACUGAUGUUUUAAUUGCUACAAAGCAGUACUUACACUAAGCCAAGGACUUUUCAGCUUCUCAUAUUGCCCUGCCAGUGAGGAGGCUGUGGGUGCACAAGUUGCUGGGAGGGGACAGAACCAGGAGAGCUGACCCAACCUGGCCAAGGAUAUUCAAUAGUGUAUGAUGUCAUGCUGAAAAAUUAAUAUGGGGUGGCUGGCCAGGGGCACGGAAACAGGACUGGACCACUGCUCGGGGAUGGGAUGGACACAGGUCAGUGGGUGGUGAGCAACUGCAUUGUGCAUCACUUGCUUCGUACAUAUUAUUGUUAUUUAUUUCUUUUCUGUCCUAUUAAACUGUCUUUAUAUCAACCCACAAGCUUUUACUUUUUUUUAUUUCCCGACCACAUGAAGUUUAACAAAAGCAAGUGCCAGGUCCUGCACCUAGGACGGGGCAACCCUGGCUAUACAUACAGACUGGGCAAUGAGAUGCUGGAGAGCAGCCCCUCAGAGGGGGAUCUGGGGUUGUGGUCAACUGCAAGUUGAAUAUGAGCCAGCACUGUGCCUUGGCAGCCAGGAAGGCCAACCAUAUCCUGGGAUGCAUCAAGCACAGCAUCGCUAGUCAGUCGAGGGAGGUGAUUGUCCCGCUCUACUCUGCGCUGGUCCGGCCUCACCUCAAGUACUGUGUCCAGUUCUGGGCACCACAGUACGAGAAGGACAUUAAACUGUUGGAGAGUGUCCAGAGGAGGGCAACGAAGAUGGUGAAGGGCCUAGAGGGGAAGACGUAUGAGGAGCGGCUGAGGGCACUGGGCCUGUUCAGCCUGGAGAAGAGGAGGCUGAGGGGGGACCUCAUCGCAGUCUACAACUUCCUCGUGAGGGGGAGUGAGAAGCAGCUGACCUAUUCUCUGUAAACACCAGUGAUAGGACCCAUGGGAAUGGUGUUAAGCUGAGGCAGGGGAAGUUUAGGCUGGACAUCAGGAAGAGGUUCUUCACCGAGAGGGUGGUUGCACACUGGAACAGGCUCCCCAGUGAAGUAGUCACUGCACCAAGCCAGUCUGAAUUUAAAAAGCGAUUGGACUGUGCACUUAGUCACAUGGCCUAAACUUUUGGGCAGACCUGUGUGGUGCCAGGAGUUGGACUUGAUGAUCCUUAUGGGUCCCUUCCAACUUGGGAUAUUCUAUGAUUCUAUGAUUCUCUCCCCCAUCGCACAACGGGAAGAGUUUGAGCGAACAGCUCUGUGGUGCUUAGCUGCCUGCUGGGUUAAACCAUAACCGUCCUAUUGGUGCCCAACAGGGGGCAUGUUCACCAUGUGUCACCUCCUCCUUCAGUGAUAUCCCAAGAAGUUUGCCUUCUGGCCAGUUCACAAUCAUUUCCAAUAUUCCUGGACAACUGGGGUUUCUUAUUCAAGCCCACUGAGUAAACAGUGCAAACCAUUUACUCCAUGUAGCAUCAGUUGCAUGAUGUGUAGAGGGGACCCUUCCUUUGAACAUCCAGCCCACCACUGGCAGUUGGGGUGCCAAGAGGAGCUGUACUUCAGUGCAGAUCACUUCCAAAGCAGAUCGAACUCCUUCAUAUGCUGCCAAUAUCUCUUUUUUGGUUGGAAUGUAGUGGGCUUCAGAUACUCUGUAUCCCCAACUCCAAAACCCCAGGGGUCGACCUCGAGUUUCCCCAGGUUCUUUCUGCCAGAGGCUCCAGGUGGGGCCCUUCUCCCUGGCUGCGGUGUAGAGCACGUUCUAUAUACCUGGUCCUGUUCGAACUGGCCCAAGGGCUACUGCAGGAACUAUUUCCUGCUUGAUUUGUUCAAAGACUUGUUGUUGCUCGGGGCCCCAUUUGAAAUAGUUCUUCUUACAGCAGGUUACUUGGUAGAGCAGGCUUACAAUCAGACUGCAAUUUGGAAUGUGCAUUCUCCACAACCCCACGACACCUAGGAAAGUUUGUGUUUCUUUUUUGCUAGCUGGUGGAGACAUAGCUAUUAUUUUGUUGGUCACAUCCAUUGGGAUUUGACGACAUCCAUCUUGCCAUUUUAUUCCUAAAAAAUGGAACUUUUGAGAAGCUCCUGUACAAUAAAAUUGACUGUCCAUUUCCUUCCCCUGGCUGGAGGCAGGGCCCCUCUAAUCCUGGACAGAAUCUUCAUUUUUUCUGUCUGGAGGACUGCCCACUGGAAAUGGAAGCAUCAGUUUUCUCAGAGAACCCCCCUUUUGCAGUUGUUUUUUCCUUGCAGCUCACAUACCUGCCUCCAGUGUCGAGGCAGAUUUUCCAUUCCAUUUUCUCACGUCCUUUCCAUGGUCACGUAGGUAAAACCACAGGGUAGCACGGGGUGUGUACCCACUAUAUCUUCUUUCUUGAACAGAGGGAUGCUUACUCCUAGUAGUUGAGUCAGUGGUUUGUACAGGAAGGGGGAAAACAUAUUCUCUUUGAAUUGGCAGACCUUUUGAGAAAGCUUCUCCACAGCCAAGUGUCCUGGUUUCAGUUAGGACAGAGUUAAUUUUCUUCCUAGUAGCUGGUAGAAUGCUAUGUUUUGGCUUAGGAUAAGAAGAGUGCUGAUAACACCCCGAUGUUUUAAUUGUUGCAGAGCAGUGCUUACACCAAGCCAAGGACGUCUCAUCUUCUUGCUCUGUCCUGCCAACAGGCAGGCUGGGGGUGCAGUAAGAGCUGGGAGGGGACAGACCCAGGACAGGUGACCCAAACUAGCCAAAGGGGUAUUCCAUACCAUCUGAUGUCAUGCUAAACAAUAUAUGGGGGUGGCUAGCCGGGGGAAGGCGGCCGG
rnacentral:lncRNA from 1 species